rnacentral:lncRNA from 1 species
AGCUAUCACAGUAUAAUGUUUACUGCUAAAGAUGCAGAAUGACUACUUCAGGCUUAUUUCCUUAUGCCUUCCACCAAAGGGACUAAGGGCCAAAUGGAGUGGUCUCUUUGACAUCGAUACAAGUAGAAAAAGGCAUCCAGGAUGGAAAUCCAGUACACAACCAUUGCACCCUGCUCCUGUAUUCCCCCCUGGACCCAUGAUGUUCAUAUUCUACAGACUUCAUAAAGGAUUCUUCAACGCUGUAAGUACUAGUAUCAGAUCUGCUCAAACAGAGCAUCAUGAAGAACAAGCAUAAAGAUUGAAUCCUAUUAUUCAUGGGCUUGGGAAGCUCCAAGCAACAUAUCUUCUAAAUAAUUAGGGCCAAAAAAUAGGCUUUGCAUACUAAAUUAUGUC